CGCCAAACUCUUGUACUAUUACAACUCGGACGCAUGAUUCAAAACGUUUACAGAGAUACACGCAUACCUGCGAUCUUCUCGUCCGUUAGGUGAAAUUGAAAACAAAAACCGAGAAUACCUUAAUGAACGUCAAGCAAAAAGAUGCGAAUAAGGCAACCGAUAAUUGCCCACAGUAACAAGUACAGUGUUGAAUAUGCUGUUACCAGUUCUGGCGAAGUUUGUUUUGUUAGAUGAAGAGGUAAAACUGCAUCGCCGCCAUUACCUAUCGAAGAAGUACUUUAUGGACAAGGAAAUUAAACGAAACGUACAAUGUCUAUCACGAUACGCUGUCAAAAGUUUGUUACUAAGCUUUUGAACAAGAGCCUCACUGAGAUCGUAACCACAAACAUUCUAACAUUGAUGUGAAUUGACGGAGCAGUGCCUAUAAUGCUGAUACAAUCAUCCACUCGUUAAUCUUAGAUCGCGUUAAAUAGUUUCUAAAUUAUAUCUACGAUACCUUCGACCUUCUCAGUCCCCUUGCAGUGGGACGUUAUCAAAAUAAGGAUUCAGAAGACAUUUUCUUCCCGUUGGGCUUCACUUUCAACCAAAGAAAUGAAUUAACCUCACUACAAAGGACUGCAUUAUUGUUGUAUAGUCUAAACAUCAACUACAUAUUGUACAUCAAGUUAAACGCUGAAGAUGUUGGAAAACACGACGUUUUAUGUCAAUAAUCGUUGUUGAAGUAUUGGAAAAUAUCGUAAUCAACGGAACCAGAUCUCACAAAUCAUAAAGCAACCGUAAGAUGUUGAAAAACGUACUGAAUUUGCUAAACAUUACAUUUUGACUAGUUCAAUCACAAUCCAAAAUGGAAGGAAAACAAGUAUUAGAUGCGCAGGACCUGUGGGAAUGUGGGAGGGAAUAAGAUAAAGAAAAACAUAAUACUUGUUUAGCUAGAACCCAAGUAAAAGCUGAAGAACAAAAGCAUCUAAACGAGCAUUUAAAAAGACACUAUAACUACUACUCUCUUGCUGUUAAAGGGCACAAGAGUCAUGGAGGUACCAGUGCACCGGCAUAUAGUGCCAAAUCGAACGUUUGUGUUAGCACUCUUGGAGAGAAACAUGUCACACGAAGCAGCCAUAAUGCUGAUUACACAAAAGUGUAUAAAUUGCAAUCGCUUGGAAUGACUACAGCAGUUCGCCAACCGCUUCCAAGCGGGUGUGCGUGACAAGGCAACGUUGUUGUAGCCUAGUUUGAAUUUGUAACGCAACAACCCAAAAACCAAAACCAAACAAAAAAAAAGGCUCAAAUAGAAAGCAAAACCAGCAGUGUUGGAUGCGACAUUUCUAAUGUUCUCUCUGCUUCCAUUUGUGUGAAGAAUUGUUGCUAUUAUAUGCUUCCCCACUCGCCUCCGUCCCUCCGCGCCACAGAGGCCCCGGACGGACGGACGGACGAAAAAAGGUUGGUGAAAAGAGAAAAAAAAAGACUUUAAUAAAAAUUGCAUUUGCCCAUUUUCAAACGAAACCGUUCUUUUUUGUUGCAGAAAACUUUUGCGAUUGGAUAGUGUUAGAAGUGUUGACUGUGGUAAUUGAUAUGUUUUGUUUUCCUUUUUAAUGCUCUUUAAUAAUUUCUUCCUUUUUGCGAACAUAUGGCUCAUAAGCUGAACUUCCCCUCUCUCUGCCCCAUGUCGGUUUCGGCAGCCAUUUUCCACUACUCUUGUGAAUUCUCUCCCUGUAACUUGUUGCACCAUAUGCUUCUAUUUACAUCCGACUGCUUCUGAGAGCGCCUCAAAGCUAACAACAACCUGGAGGUCGAGAUGCGGGACUUUGGUCCCCGCCCAAUGCCCGGGGUCGAAUAUCCUUACGGACAGAAGAACCGCAUCCAUGGGGAUGAGGUUGCGAAUGGUUGUUUAUGGCACUAUGUGUGAAGAUAAACCAGAAGAAGGAAGAACAAAAACAAACGGAUUUGCGCUAGCGUUUAGCUAUGCAACGGACAGUUUGAUACGCGAAGGCAAAGAGACCGUACCUGCGUUAACUACCUGGCAAUUACCCAUAGAUAACACUACACUCCGGUGUAGUUGAAGGCUGACGACAAUAAGGAACAAGACGAUCCGAGGAAUGGAACACACAGAACCGCCAAAAUAAAAGCCCGCACAUUGACAUAAGUCCCAACCUCACGCUUAAGCUAUAACCGGUGACAAGAUGUACUGGGUGGGUGUGUUGUGUGUGGCGUCACUCACAGAAAAGCCUCAGUAUCUGCCGCGUUAUAGUGCGUAGUAUUUCCCAUUGGCUACUGUUACAGUGAGCCGGGCGGGGAACAGAGAGCGAGAAAUAAUGUGCGUGGAGCGUUACGCUUGCGCGGACGGGAAGAACGAACCCGCUGAGGCCCCUCCGAUUGCGCCAUCCUUUUACACUCCUUCCCACAAUCCGUGGCGAGACAUGAGACAUGUAAGCGAAAAAGAAAACAACUCUUGUAAAGACGUAAACACAACCGGUUCCAAAAAUUGAGGCUCAGUUAAUGGCCCAAAGCUCUCACAUCGCGCUUUACGGACGAAGAUGUACAGAGAACGCAAGUAUGAAGAGCCACUGCGCGCGCGCGUGUGUGUAGGGUAAAGGAUCAUGUGCAAAUGCGAGCAGGAAGAGUGUCGAUGAGAUUUGUGUAAGUAGAGGGUAGUUAGACAGUUGUUAGAUAUAAGUUGCUCCACUAAAUAGUACUACACCUGAAUCACCUGAUCUCACUUUCUCUUUCACAUUCUACCGGUGCGUACGCACACAUUGCCGGAAGCGCUACCAUCCGUAACACACGCACACCUUCGUUCCCGUACCGCACCAUAACCCAACACCCCCGUGAAAAUCGACCCGUCGUCUCCUGCCUACACCGUGGCGCACCCCUGUAAAACACCACCACUCAUUACCUUCUGUAUUGUAACGUGUUUUUUUUUUCGCCGUUUCGAAACAUCCAACCGUCAAUUCCAAAACAGAAACCGUCCUAGGAUGCGUUUAUCUGGUCGGGGUUUUGGUUGUGUUGGUGCCGUGUACACGUCCGGAUUGGCACGCGUAACCAUGUGUAACGCACAAAAAGAUCGCCAGCUAACGAUCGCCUGUCGCACAUAGUUAACGUGUCGAGCCGGAUGUCCUCUCGGUUACCGCAAUAACCAUCUCUCCCCUUGUUUCUUUCUUUCUUUCUCUUUCUCUUUGUUUCUGUUUCAAGUUUUUCAGCCUCCACCAAGCGAUGGUUUACCGCGGUGCAAAACAAGUGCGUGCAAUAUGUGUGUGUGUGUGCUAUUGUGUUAAACAAUGCGCUAAAAUACAGCUCCUCUUCUAUAUAUACAUAUAUAUAUAUAUAUAAAUACACACCAUCAUGGGACAGUAACGUGCAAGUGUGCAUAGAAGAAGCAGUCAGAACGUUUUGUGCAGCGGAAAACAUAACCUACAAAAAAAUAACCUUCGACAACACACACACAUACAACAAAAACCAUCCUGUCCAAAAACCAAUUUGCUAUUUUUUCUCGGGUGGUCCUUUUGUAACAGGUGUACCACCUGUGCACACGGUGUUCAAAGGGAGAAGAUGGCCGCCUUCCACCGGGUUCCUUACGGGAAGUAUGGUGCGCGUUUUUGGGGACUUGCGUGUGUGUGGGUGCGCGUGAGUGAUAGCGGCGAGGCAUCGGAUGUGUGCGUACCGGGAACACCGGCUGUAGAACAGAGUGUAGUGGUGACACCUAUACCUAAGUAGUAAAUUGACGCAGUGCUUCUUAACCCAGUCAGUCCUACCGCGUUAGUAGUAUACCGUGUUGUCCUUCCUUGGUUUGACCGACUCGUAGCGUUAUGUGCAGUUCGAAUCUCCGGGUAACGUGAACCAUUCUGUCUCGACUACAUAGCUAUCGUUGAGCUAUCGUAGCCCUAGUGUCAUAUAGUAGCAUCAUAUAGACUAAGAACCUCCCGAUUCCUUCCGGAUAGAUCCCGUCUGUCACGGUGUGGCCGGCCGUUCGGUCACAGAGACCGUGAGAGACAGGGCGUGCCCAAAAAGGGGGUUGUGCGGUGCUGGCCGGCUAUCCGUGGUACGCGAUGCUUCUGGCGAUACCGGGUGCCGGGUGCGUAUAUGCGCUGCCCCGCGUGUAUGUGUGCCGCGCCAGUAUCACGGAACCUAUCCGUCGCGUGACAGCAGUGUUGCCAGGUGAUCAUCUCACACAAUCACGCCGCCCUACGCUGGAUCUAUAAUAGUGUGUGCCGUUUGCGUUUGCAGGCAAAAAAAAAUAAGCGAAAUAUUCAUUAAUUAUAUAUAUAUAUAACACCGUCACAUCACGAGCUGAAGCGGAGCAGUUUAUGAAACGCUACCAUUCCCCUCCCCCUCCCUCCCUCAAUCAACAAACAAGGUAUAUGCAAAGAAAACAGAUCUCUAAAAUAAUAGAGCGUUACGCGAGUGCUAGCUUUGGAGCGGGGAGGACAUCAACUCACUACGAUUCAAUCUGACUGCGCCAACGAGCAAGCGUUCCAUUCGGUAAUGACUCUGUAGCGGUGUACCCGGUGACAUGCAGACACAUGGCUAGUUUUGUUUUUGCGCCCCAUCCUGAGACAUCCCGCCCCGCUGCUGAUUCGAUGCACACGCUACGUGUUGGUAACGGUCGAUCCCGCUCAUUCGUUAGCACGGAUGAUGGAGGGGGGAAGGAAAGCACGGCACAUUACUAAAUGAUCCUGGUCACGGCACCACGGUAAGUUUGAAAAGAAACGCGCUUGCUGCAACACCGUUGUGACACGUCCUGGCAGCGCUAAAUGCCAACGGGUACGGGUUCUUCUGAUCGACACAAUUGGGGGGUACGCAAGAUGGUGGCACCACAGUCCGGGGUUCAGUCGCGUCUGUUGAUCCUACCAUCGCCGGUGAUGUUGUGCGGGAUAGCAAAAAGGAUCUCCCUCUGAAACACCGAGGAGACGGAUCAGGGUCGGGUUUGGUGGGGGAGGAAGCACUUGGGGUAACUUGGGGAGCGCUCCUCCACAGGAUUACCUCAUCCAUCCUUUCCCCUCUCAAACACAGCCCUAACCCGUUCCACGAUCCGUAGUGCAAACUAAAACAAUACAACAAACAAAAAAAAAGAUACCAAACAAACCAACAACAACAAAAAAAACAUAACUCUACUCUCUCCUCUACCAAAGAAGUGUGUGUGUGUGUCGUGUGUCGCAUACCCAACAAAUAUUGGGUGCGAGCCUUGUUUUUUACGUUGAUAUAUUUACAUAUUACGCAAAAGAACGAAACACGCAUAUGGACUCAUAUCUCUUUACUCACUCUAUCUUUAAGCUCUAACUCCUAUAAAACUGCGUAUAAUAUAAUAAGCUGCUGUUGCUGCUGCUGCUGCUGCCACCAUCGCCAUUCAACGUCGUUACCUUCCGUAGAUGAUAAGAACGAGACUGCCAGAAAAAAAAGUACAACAACUUUCGGUUUCAUUUUUUCCUUCGUGUCGUUUCAUGCGAUCGGUACGGCCGGCGGCUGCCCCGUGUGCUGUGGUUUUGCCAGGAGGUUUUGUGUUUAUUUUUUAAAUGUUUAGUUCGAGAUCCUAAACCAUCUCGUCCCGAAGCCUUCCGCACUAUCUGCACGUCUGCGUGCUCUGUCUGCUCAAUUGUGUCGAUCGGAAGGGUCCUAGAAUGUGGCAUUCCGGCAAGUGUCGGACGUAAACAUCGGGAGCCAUAGGCUACCUACCGCAAAGUUUCUAUAAAACGUAAAUCACUACCACAAUUCACCAUCGGGAACUACCGGAGCACUGUCGGAACCGGAAUACACCGGGUGCUGUCUGUCGUCUCGCGCUGUUACCCCAUCCGCACUUCCGCCAUUUUUUUUUCCUGUGGUGUCAAUCACCUGUUUUACUUAAGUUUUCUUGUUUCAUUUCUUUUCACCGCACCCGGUGCGUUGCUGGUGUGCCCGGUGACGAAAACGAAACACACGCGUUGUGUUGUACUCCUUUCUAAUCCUCCUCUGUAUGCGCGCCAUCCCGCUGCCUAGCUCUUCCGUUCUAGCCCAAAGCCACCGGUGGGCAGGGUUCGACGUACGGACUCUUUGAGCGUGCAUUCUGCACCCGCAUUACACAACAUUUAGAGUAACAACAACAACAUAAAAAAAAAUUAACACGACAACGACGCGUUUCCUGCUGCAUCCCCUGCCCACCAUGCACGGCUUCAAACCACGUGUCAACGUUACUGCUCGGUUACUAUCCGCCAUUGACCCACGUCUGCGGGUCCGGAAGGCGGAACACACACGGGGGAAACGGUGCGCGGGACGACGUACAAGCAAACCGGCUGGUUGUUGGGAUGCACCGGCCCGGAAUGAUGUGUGGUAGUGUCUUUAGCCUCCUUUCCUAUAAAACCCCUUUGCAACAAAAAAACAAAUUUAGUGGAGCAACACUGUACUGACACUGGAUCACAACCGGCUUACGAUUUUGAACCGAUUACCCAACCUGACGCUAUUGCGAUUAACAUCCAAGCAGUUCGAAACAAAUAGCGAUUAUGUGAAGCAAAACCCAGAAUGCCGCGCGUAAAGCAAUUAGCUAUAACGAAAGCAAAUAGCGAACGCAAAAGGCGUGGAGUAUAAACUAAAUCAAAACAGACGAAAACUCUAUCCUCCCAUACCUACCCAAAACACCGGAACACAGAGAGAGAGAGAGAGAGCGAACGCGCGCGCGAUUCUAUAAGACAAUGAGAACCCGCGGUAUGAAAAACGAGAAAAACGCAAAAUAUAAACGGAAUGGAGAAAAGCAAAAAAGAAAACAAAGGAAAUAAUAAAACUAAAAACAAACACCACCCGUAUAAAACUAAACCACCCGAUAAAGAAACAAACCCCUAUAAACAAACAGAAGAAAACAA